UACGUAGGGGGCAAGCGUUGUCCGGAAUCAUUGGGCGUAAAGAGCGUGUAGGCGGCUCGGUAAGUCCGCUGUGAAAGUCCAGGGCUCAACCCUGGAAUGCCGGUGGAAACUGUCGAGCUAGAGUCCGGAAGAGGCGAGUGGAAUUCCUGAUGUAGCGGUGAAAUGCGCAGAUAUCAGGAGGAACACCAAUGGCGAAGGCAGCUCGCUGGGACGGUACUGACGCUGAGACGCGAAAGCGUGGGGAGCAAACAGG
rnacentral:rRNA from 1 species